GAUGAACGCUGGCGGCGUGCUUAACACAUGCAAGUCGAACGAAGCACCUUAUUCUGAUUCCUUCGGAAUGAAAAAUUUGGUGACUGAGUGGCGGACGGGUGAGUAACGCGUGGGUAACCUGCCUCAUACAGGGGGAUAACAGUUAGAAAUGACUGCUAAUACCGCAUAAGACCACAGCACCGCAUGGUGCAGGGGUAAAAACUCCGGUGGUAUGAGAUGGACCCGCGUCUGAUUAGGUAGAUGGUGGGGUAACGGCCUACCAAGCCGACGAUCAGUAGCCGACCUGAGAGGGUGACCGGCCACAUUGGGACUGAGACACGGCCCAAACUCCUACGGGAGGCAGCAGUGGGGAAUAUUGCACAAUGGGGGAAACCCUGAUGCAGCGACGCCGCGUGAGCGAUGAAGUAUUUCGGUAUGUAAAGCUCUAUCAGCAGGGAAGAAAAUGACGGUACCUGGCUAAGAAGCACCGGCUAAAUACGUGCCAGCCGCCGCGGUAA
rnacentral:rRNA from 1 species